GGAGGAAAAGAAACUAACAAGGAUUCCCCUAGUAACGGCGAGUGAAGCGGGAUGAGCUCAAAUUUGUAAUCUGGUGGACUCAGUUCAUCCGAGUUGUAAUCUAUAGAAGUGUUUUCCGCGCUGGACCGUGUCUAAGUCCCUUGGAACAGGGUGUCAGAGAGGGUGAGAAUCCCGUGCUUGAUACGAUCACCAGUGCUAUGUGAUACACUUUCAACGAGUCGAGUUGUUUGGGAAUGCAGCUCAAAAUGGGUGGUAAAUUCCAUCUAAAGCUAAAUAUUGGCGAGAGACCGAUAGCGAACAAGUACCGUGAGGGAAAGAUGAAAAGCACUUUGGAAAGAGAGUUAAACAGUACGUGAAAUUGUUAAAAGGGAAACGAUUGAAGUCAGUCGUGCUCUCUGGGACUCAGCCGGUUCUUCCGGUGUACUUCCCAGUGAGGGGGUCAACAUCAGUUUAGAUCGCUGGAUAAAGGUAUUAGGAAGGUGGCUCCCUCGGGAGUGUUAUAGCCUAGUAUCGCAUACAGUGGUUUAGACUGAGGAACGCAGCUCGCCUUUAUGGCCGGGGUUCGCCCACGUCCGAGCUUAGGAUGUUGACAUAAUGGC
rnacentral:rRNA from 1 species